rnacentral:misc_RNA from 1 species
AUUGUUCUUUGACUGGACUAAUGUGGGUCGCCUACACUGCUUACUUCCUUGGUGGGAAGAUGCCACCGUUGAUUUUAUGAUUAGUGGUGGCUAUAAUGUCGGAAAUCAAAUAGAGGAGGUAAAGCAGAAGACACUGAUUAUAUGGGGAGAGGAUGACCGGAUAAUCAACAACACUCUCGCACUGAGAUUGCAAGAGGAACUUUCAGAUUCAGUCUUACAUCAGAUACCCGAAUGUGGUCAUCUUCCUCAUGUGGAGAAGCCAGAGCUUG